GACGAACGCUGGCGGCGUGCCUAAUACAUGCAAGUAGAACGCUGAAGCGAGGAGCUUGCUCUUCUUGGAUGAGUUGCGAACGGGUGAGUAACGCGUAGGUAACCUGCCUUGUAGCGGGGGAUAACUAUUGGAAACGAUAGCUAAUACCGCAUAACAAUGGAUGACACAUGUCAUUUAUUUGAAAGGGGCAAUUGUUCCACUACAAGAUGGACCUGCGUUGUAUUAGCUAGUAGGUGAGGUAAUGGCUCACCUAGGCGACGAUACAUAGCCGACCUGAGAGGGUGAUCGGCCACACUGGGACUGAGACACGGCCCAGACUCCUACGGGAGGCAGCAGUAGGGAAUCUUCGGCAAUGGGGGCAACCCUGACCGAGCAACGCCGCGUGAGUGAAGAAGGUUUUCGGAUCGUAAAGCUCUGUUGUAAGUCAAGAACGGGUGUGAGAGUGGAAAGUUCACACUGUGACGGUAGCUUACCAGAAAGGGACGGCUAACUACGUGC
rnacentral:rRNA from 1 species